ACUCCUACGGGAGGCAGCAGUGGGGAAUAUUGCACAAUGGGGGAAACCCUGAUGCAGCCAUGCCGCGUGUGUGAAGAAGGCCUUCGGGUUGUAAAGCACUUUCAGUAGGGAGGAAGGUAGUGUAGUUAACACCUGCAUUAUUUGACGUUACCUACAGAAGAAGCACCGGCUAACUCCGUGCCAGCAGCCGCGGUAAUACGGAGGGUGCGAGCGUUAAUCGGAAUUACUGGGCGUAAAGCGCAUGCAGGCGGCCUGUUAAGUCAGAUGUGAAAGCCCGGGGCUUAACCUCGGAAUUGCAUUUGAAACUGGCAGGCUAGAGUCUUGUAGAGGGGGGUAGAAUUUCAGGUGUAGCGGUGAAAUGCGUAGAGAUCUGAAGGAAUACCAGUGGCGAAGG
rnacentral:rRNA from 1 species